rnacentral:tRNA from 1 species
UCCUUAGUGGUCCAGUAGUUAAGAUUCUGCACUUCCACUGCAGGGGGUGUGGGUUCGAUCCCUGUCAGGGAA